GGAAACGCUGACGGCAGCCUAAUACACUGGCAAGUCUGAACGGUGUCUUCGGACACUAGUCGGCGCACGGGUGCGGUCAACACGUAUGCAUACCUACCUUUACAUUGUGGGGAUACGCCUUUUCGGAAAGCGGAGAUUGAAUACCGACAUAAGACACUGAGACUAGGGCAUCCAGCAGCAUGUGUCACAAGAUUUCAUCGAUAGUACGCUUGGGACAUGCGUCCGAAUUAAGACUCAGUAUGGUGAGGUAAUGGCUCGAUCCAAGGCAAUCGAUUGGUACGGGGAACUGAGAGGUCAAUCCACCCAACAACUGGCACUGCAGAUACGGGCCACACUCCUCACGGGAGCGCAGCAGUAGGGAAUAUUGGGCAAUGGACGCAAGUCUGACCCAGUCCAUGCCAGCGUACAGGAUGAACGGCGUUAUGCGUUGUAAACUGCGUUUUAUACCAGGAAGAAACCGACUCUUGCGAGAGGCAUUGACGGUACUGUAUGAAUAAGCACCGGACUAAACUCCGUGCCAGCAGCCCGCCGGUAAUACGGAGGGUGCAAACGUUGUCCGGGUUUAUUGGGUUUAAAGGGUCGCGCACGUGGUUUAUUAAGAUCAGUGGUGAAACGACGGUCGCUCAACAGAUUGCAGGUGCCAUUGAAAACUAGGUAGACUUGAGUACACGUAAAGGUGGGCGGAAUUGAUAGUGUAGCGGUGAAAUGCAUAGAUAUUAUCAAAGAACUCCCAAUUGGCGUAGGCAGCCUCACCUUGGCUUUUAAU
rnacentral:rRNA from 1 species